UCCCUAGUAACUGAGGGACCGCGGCGGCGCCGGCCUCCCGGGAGCCACGUGACUCCCAACUUUGACCUCAGCGCAGACAUUGUCAGAGCACUAGAACAAGGACAGAGAAACUGUCACAUAUUGCUAGUGACAGCUGCGCUGCUCAAGGCAGGAAGAGCUCUGAGCUGAGCAGUGGAGGCCCUCCUGGAUCGGGACAGAAGAGGUUAUCUUGGAGCCAGUAAUGAGCCACCCCGACUACCGGCUGAACCUCCGGUCCCUGGGGACCCCCAGAGGUGUGUCCUCUUUGGUUGGUCCACAUGGUGUUGGUGCUUCGCCAGGUGACAAAAAGUCAAAGAACAAGAACACACGAGGGAAGAAAAAGAGCAUAUUUGAAACCUACAUGUCCAAGGAGGAUGUUUCAGAAGGCUUGAAGAGAGGGACACUCAUCCAGGGUGUAUUGAGAAUUAAUCCGAAGAAGUUUCAUGAAGCCUUCAUUCCUUCUCCGGAUGGCGAUCGAGACAUUUUUAUUGAUGGGGUUGUUGCUCGUAAUAGAGCCUUGAAUGGAGAUCUGGUGGUCGUGAAGCUGCUUCCAGAGGAGCAGUGGAAGGUAAUUAAACCAGAGAGCAAUGACAAAGAAACAGAAGGGGCCUAUGAAUCAGAUCUCCCCGAGGAGCUCUGUGGAAGCCAUCUCCUGCAGCAGUCUCUGAAAGGCUGUAAUGACAGUCCUGAUGUCAUUAUAGAGGCUCAGUUUGAUGACAGUGACUCAGAAGAUGGACAUGGCAACACACCAAAUUCCUUGGUUGAUGGUGUUAAGAAACUCUCAGUUUGUGUUCAUGAAAAAGGAAGAAGUUUCUGGCAUAUUCCCCAUGAAAGCCGAGAAGAAAUGCCAGGAGAUUUAAGGAGGAUGUUCCGCAGCCGCCCUGUGAUGGGGACCGGAAAAGAGGGUGCCGGUGCACCAGUUGCAAAAGACGAGAACACCUUCAUGUCCCAGGACGCAAGAGCCUCCCCAGAGAAGUCGCUGCAGAGAUCAGCAAAGGUGGUUUACAUCUUGGAGAAGAAACAUUCCCGUGCAGCAACUGGCUUCCUCAAACUCUUGGCUGAUAAGAACAGUGAGCUGUUCAGGAAAUAUGCCCUGUUUUCUCCCUCGGACCACCGAGUGCCUAGAAUUUAUGUGCCUCUCAAGGACUGUCCCCAGGAUUUUGUGACCCGGCCGAAAGAUUAUGCCAACACACUGUUCAUCUGCCGCAUCGUGGACUGGAAGGAAGACAGCAAUUUUGCCCUGGGGCAGCUGGCCAAGAGUCUCGGGCAGGCUGGUGAGAUCGAGCCUGAAACGGAAGGGAUCCUAACAGAGUACGGUGUGGAUUUCUCGGAUUUCCCUUCAGAGGUUUUAGAAUGCCUCCCGCAAGGCCUGCCUUGGACGAUUCCACCAGAGGAAUUCAGGAAGAGAAGAGAUUUGAGGAAAGACUGCAUCUUCACCAUUGACCCAUCAACUGCUCGAGACCUCGAUGACGCCCUCUCCUGCAAGUCCCUCGCUGAUGGCAACUUCGAAGUGGGAGUGCACAUCGCUGACGUCAGCUACUUUGUUCCCGAGGGAUCCAGCUUGGAUUCAGUGGCCGCUGAGAGAGCUACGAGUGUCUACUUGGUCCAGAAGGUGGUCCCCAUGCUUCCCAGGCUGCUUUGUGAGGAGCUGUGCAGCCUCAAUCCCAUGACUGACAAGCUGACCUUCUCUGUGAUCUGGACGCUAACUCCCAGAGGCAAGAUCCUCAGCGAAUGGUUUGGCCGGACCGUCAUCCACUCCUGCACCAAACUGAGCUAUGAACAUGCACAGAGCAUGAUCGAAAGCCCGACUAGGAAAAUCCCCGAGAAGGAACUGCCCCCCAUCUCCCCGGAGCACAGUGGCGAGGAGGUGCACCGCGCCGUCUUGACCCUCCACGGCAUCGCCAAGGAGCUGCGCAAACAGCGGUUCGCAGACGGCGCCCUGCGUUUGGAUCAGCUAAAGCUUGCUUUUACUCUGGACCACGAGACUGGGCUGCCUCAAGGAUGUCACAUCUAUGAGUACCGUGACAGCAACAAGCUCGUGGAGGAGUUCAUGCUCUUGGCCAACAUGGCCGUGGCCCACAAGAUCCACCGCGCCUUCCCCGAGCGAGCGCUGCUGCGCCGCCACCCGCCGCCGCAGACCAAGAUGCUCAACGACCUGAUGGAGUUCUGCGAGCAGCUGGGGCUGCCCAUGGACUUCAGCUCCGCGGGGGCCCUCAAUAAAAGUCUGACGGAAACAUUUGGAGACGACAAGUACUCCCUAGCCCGCAAGGAGGUGCUCACUAACAUGUGCUCGCGGCCCAUGCAGAUGGCCCUGUACUUCUGCGCGGGGACACUGCGGGACCCGGCGCAGUUCCGCCACUAUGCCCUCAACGUGCCACUCUACACGCACUUCACGUCGCCCAUCCGCCGCUUCGCCGACGUCAUGGUGCAUCGCCUCCUGGCCGCCGCGCUGGGCUACAGGGAGCCCCCAGAUAUGGAGCCCGAUGUCCUGCAGAAGCGGGCCGACCACUGCAACGACCGGCGCAUGGCGUCCAAGCGCGUGCAGGAGCUCAGCACCGGCCUCUUCUUCGCCAUCCUGGUCAAGGAGAGCGGCCCCCUGGAGUCGGAAGCCAUGGUGCUGGGCGUCCUGAACCAAGCCUUCGACGUGCUCGUGCUGCGCUACGGGGUCCAGAAGCGCAUCUACUGUAACGUGAGUGCGGGGGCUGCCGCCCAUGGUCAGGAAUGCUCUGAGCAGACAGAGGUUGGCUACAGGGCACAGGUGCCUGUCUACCCUGACCUGUAUGCCUGCACCACCAGGCUGCUGCCCCCCCCCCACCCCCAGACACACUGAGCUGUGUCCACUUAGCACGCUCCCACCUACCUGCCCUGUUCCCACUGCCGGCUCCCCUCCAGGUCUCCCCAGCAUGGGUGGGGUCUUGACCCAGGGACAGCUCUGGAUAGACACAAGCAGGCAGGAUGGGAGCACAGGCUGAGGCCCUGCUGUCCUUGUCCACGGUGGGGCAGUGCACCUGUCCCCUAGCUAUGGGCCAUACUGGCACCAUGUCUAUCCCAUGGGCCAGCUGCAGCUGCCCAGGGUCGGAGGUCCAGGCCAAGGGUCAGGCUUGGGCCUCUUUGCCAAGGACUCGAGUGACCAGAGAGCUGGUCCCUACAUGACCAGUGUAAGACGGCUGUGUAGGCUUUGGAAGGCUGCUUAUAGGAACAGGAGCGGGAGCAGGAGCCGGGAGAAUGGCCCGUGGCUGCUCUGCAAGCUGUGUCCCCUGAAAAGACGGAUGAGACUAAGGCCUCCUGCAGGGGCUCCUUAUUCAAGUCUCUUUCCAACUUGGUGCUUGUCUCAUGCCCCCCUGGGGGACCUGUUCCAGCUGACCUUGUGGCACUGCCCCUGCGCUCCCACCACUUCCAGAAGGUGGGCAAGAAGCCGGAGCUCACGCUCGUC